rnacentral:rRNA from 1 species
CCUACGGGUGGCAGCAGUGAGGAAUAUUGGUCAAUGGACGCGAGUCUGAACCAGCCAAGUAGCGUGAAGGAUGACUGCCCUAUGGGUUGUAAACUUCUUUUAUCAAGGAAUAAAACGAGGCACGUGUGCCUUUUUGCAUGUACUUUAUGAAUAAGGCUCGGCUAACUCCGUUCCCGCAGCCGCGGUAAUACGGAGGAUCCGAGCGUUAGCCGGAUUUAUUGGGUUUAAAGGGAGCGUAGAUGGGUUGUUAAGUCAGUUGUGAAAGUUUGCGGCUCAACCGUAAAAUUGCAAGUGAUACUGGCAGUCUUGAGUACAGUUGAGGUAGGCGGAAUGCGUGGUGUAGCGGUGAAAUGCUUAGAUAUCACGAAGAACCCCGAUUGCGAAGGCAGCUUACUAAACUGUGACUGACAUUGAUGCUCGAAAGUGUGGGGAUCAAACAGGAUUAGAUACCCGUGUAGUC